CCUACGGGGGGCUGCAGUAGGGAAUAUUGCUCAAUGGGGGAAACCCUGAAGCAGCAACGCCGCGUGGAGGAUGAAGGUUUUCGGAUUGUAAACUCCUUUUGUUAGAGAAGAUAAUGACGGUAUCUAACGAAUAAGCACCGGCUAACUCCGUGCCAGCAGCCGCGGUAAUACGGAGGGUGCAAGCGUUACUCGGAAUCACUGGGCGUAAAGAGCGCGUAGGCGGGAUAGCAAGUCAGAUGUGAAAUCCUAUGGCUUAACCAUAGAACUGCAUUUGAAACUGUUAUUCUAGAGUAUGGGAGAGGGAGGUGGAAUUCUUGGUGUAGGGGUAAAAUGCGUAGAGAUCAAGAGGAAUACUCAUUGCGAAGGCGACCUGCUAGAAUAUAACUGACGUUGAUGCGCGAAAGCGUGGGGAGCAAACAGGAUUAGAUACCCCAGUAGUC
rnacentral:rRNA from 1 species